CCUACGGGUGGCAGCAGUGAGGAAUAUUGGUCAAUGGACGAGAGUCUGAACCAGCCAAGUCGCGUGACGGAUGACUGCCCUAUGGGUUGUAAACUUCUUUUAUCAGGGACUAAAACUGGGCACGUGUGCCUGUUUGCGGGUACUUUAUGAAUAAGGAUCGGCUAACUCCGUGCCAGCAGCCGCCGUCAUACGGAGGAUCAGAGCGUUAUCCGGAUUUCUUGGGUUUAAAGGGUUCGUAGAUGGGUUUUUAAGUCAGUGGUGAAAGUUUGCGGCUAAACCGCAACAUUGCAAUUGAUACUGGCAGGCUUGAGUACAGUAGAGGUAAGCGGAAUGCGUGGUGUAGCGGUGAAAUGCUUAGAUAUCACGAAGAACCCCGAUUGCGAAGGCAGCUUACUAACCUGUGACUGACAUUGAGGCUCGAAAGUGUGGGUAUCAAACAGGAUUAGAUACCCGGGUAGUC
rnacentral:rRNA from 1 species